GGAAAAGGGGUUAAGUGAUGCAAAUCUUAAUAGUAAGUAGUUGGAAAAACAAGAAGCUAAAUCAUCGUAGGCACACCUGGAAAGUCCUCAAGGGCAGAAACCCACCAAUACCAAUAAAAAUAAAAUGAAAAUUAAAAAUUAAAAAAAAAGAAGCAAAAUUCCAUGGUUAAUUCUCAUUCCUUUUUCAUUUUAUUUCUCUUACUC
rnacentral:misc_RNA from 1 species